rnacentral:misc_RNA from 1 species
AUCAUGUACAACUCAUCUACCCUUCAUUUCCAAACCUCAAAAGUCUCCAUCUUUUUUCCCCAAAUUAAGUUCUCAGUUUCUGGGCAUCCAAAAUAAGGUUGGUUGGGUAAGACACUGCAGAAUUGGACCCUCCAAUGGGUCAAGAGUAAAGUGCUGGUUCAAGUUUGGUAAAAGUGGUGUUGAUGCUGAAGGAGCUGGCAUUUAUGGCAGCCAAUCCCGUGAUGACUUUGAUAGAGAUGAUGUUGAGCAGUACUUUAACUACAUGGGGAUGCUUGCUGUUGAAGGUUCAUAUGACAAGAUGGAGGCUCUCCUAAGUCAAAAUAUUCAUCCAGUAGACAUCUUAUUGAUGUUGGCUGCUUCAGAAGGUGACAAGCCAAAAAUUGAAGAGUUGUUAAGAGCUGGAGCAAGUUACACUGUCAAGGAUACAGAUGGACGGACCGCACUUGAUAGAGCCAACGAAGAAAUUAGGGAAUUCAUCCUUCAGUUUUCAGUUCAAAUGGCAUGAUUAUUUUUAGAUAAAUGUACCAAUCCAUUUGCCUGUAUUGUGCUUUAUAGUUGUUGCUUCUCAAGUUAUGACAAGUUGGACAUUUAGUAUCUUGUUCUGCAGAGAAAUAUAAUGUAAUGUUUUGAUGUUAGUUGGUCAUCAGUCUA